GAGUUUGAUCCUGGCUCAGGAUGAACGCUGGCGGCGUGCCUAAUACAUGCAAGUCGAGCGAACAGAUAAGGAGCUUGCUCCUUUGACGUUAGCGGCGGACGGGUGAGUAACACGUGGGUAACCUACCUAUAAGACUGGGAUAACUUCGGGAAACCGGAGCUAAUACCGGAUAACAUUUAGAACCGCAUGGUUCUAAAGUGAAAGAUGGUUUUGCUAUCACUUAUAGAUGGACCCGCGCCGUAUUAGCUAGUUGGUAAGGUAACGGCUUACCAAGGCGACGAUACGUAGCCGACCUGAGAGGGUGAUCGGCCACACUGGAACUGAGACACGGUCCAGACUCCUACGGGAGGCAGCAGUAGGGAAUCUUCCGCAAUGGGCGAAAGCCUGACGGAGCAACGCCGCGUGAGUGAUGAAGGGUUUCGGCUCGUAAAACUCUGUUAUUAGGGAAGAACAAAUGUGUAAGUAACUGUGCACAUCUUGACGGUACCUAAUCAG
rnacentral:rRNA from 1 species